rnacentral:lncRNA from 1 species
UCGGCGGCGAAUUUGUAUUUUGAAAACAAAGUUAAAUAUGUAAGCUCAACACACUUACCAAUUGUUAACUUAUGUUAGUUCCAAAUCAGAAGCAUUUUUACAAACAUAUGAUUUAAAUUCAUACACAGAAAAUGCAAAAAGCUUUUAUGAUUAAAAUAGUAUAUAGAAAUGGAGAAAAAAAAGAAAAAAAAUCCUACAGGAUUUUGAGGCAUAGGCCCCCCUUAGUCCAAAAAAUUAUGACGUCUUGAAAGGCUAUUAUAAUUUUUUUUUUCUUUGACCAAAGUAAGGCGUCAAAGAAAAAAAAUUAUAAUAGCUUUUCAAGAGUCAUAAUUAGUUGGACUAGGGCCCCCCUCAACUUCUGAAGCAAGGUUGUCGGCUCUCCGGACAUUCCCAAAGUCCUGCGUAAUUCCAACACUAAACAUUUAACUCUAGUCUACGUUUAAUAAAAUGCAAAAUUGUAGAAAACAUAUUGAAAGGUAAAAAAAGGUUAUUGAAAUUUGAAUAAUUCUUUUUGGGUCUUUAGUGUAAACCACAAAAAGUAGUUCCGACACUAAAGAGUAGUGUCUCUUUGAACGCUUGUCGAUUACAAAAGAAACUGACAGUUUCAAUAUCGUGACGUCACAGUACAAAGUAGCAAGUCCGCAUAAACGAUCAGUGACACAGAAAAUACAAAAUAUCUAUGACAGCAAGGAUUGAUUGCCGAGUUUAUGAGCUUCAGUCCUUGCUUGGAAGUUGGAAAUUUUCUACAAUGUAUAGACAUAUAACAAGGCUCAACAAUCCAUUACUAGUCCAUUACAAUACCAUUUUUUACUAUCCACAUUUUAAAUUUUAUCAUGGUUUCUUUUACAGGGACUACAGUUUUAUUCCUCUUGUGUGAUCUAUUUAAUAUGCAAUAUUUAUUAUGUAUUUUAAGCUAAUAAAUACAAGUUGAAAAUAUUAUUUGCCAUUCUCUUCACCUAUGUUCACCAUGGCAAUGUACACUGAAUUCACAAAAGUCCGCAAAAUACAGAUAAUUUCCGUGAAUAUUUCACAUAAUAAUCACGAUGACAUUUAACCUUAAAAUAGUAAGCAUUUCAUUUAUCUGCAAAUUCUAUUUUAGUUGAAAAAUUGCUAUAAUAAUGGAUUUACAUGAUGAACUGAUACCAGCAGGGGCAGUAUUUUUCCUGUAAAGUUCAAGAUUUCAUCUUUCAGAUUCUGUAAUAAAAUUCUACUGACUGUUAGCGAUAAAAAUUCACUGUUCGGGGGUGUUGAAAUUAGUGGGGGUUAUUAAAACAAUGAUACUUAAAAUAAUGAUUUUUGGGAAGGAAAUUGAGGUAUGAUACCUAAACAAGUGAUUUUUAUGUCAUUAUCCUAGAUUCAGUACAAGGUCAUCACCUGAAAUGACCUGGUCAUCCUAGACAACACAGAUGUUGGUUCUGAUAAUUUUAGCAUCAUAAUUAGUCCCUGGAUCAUUAGUAUUCUAUAUUUAAAGCUACAAUAAAAUUAAAUCACUUCUUCUAGCAUGUCUAGUGAUUCAUUUGUACUACUUAAACAGGUGAUUAUUAAAGAAAGACAACUCUUACUUCCAACCUUUAUGGAAAUAAUGUUACUUGAAUCAGUGAUUUAGAAAAUCACUCAUUUAAGUAAGUCCCCUGACUGAUGAUGUUAACCUUGAAUUUUACCAUUAGUAUGAUGAGUUGCAGUAAUGUUUUUUUUCAUUUCAGCUUGUACAUGUUUGUUAUAGUUAAAGGAAGUCAAAAACCUAAAAAGUUAUGGCAGACAGUAAUACCAAAUUUUUCAGUAAACUGAAAACUGUGUGUAAAAAUAUUGAACAGGGAAUCAGUCAGCUUCAAAGUGAGGUAGAAACAAAAACUUCCAGUAGAUCAUCUGGAAAAACUGUAAUGAAAUUGACCAGUCUUAAACAGGAAAUCCAAGAUAUGAAG